UAGAGUACUCGGCCUUUAA
rnacentral:tRNA from 1 species